rnacentral:rRNA from 1 species
UGACCGAUAGUGAACCAGUACCGUGAGGGAAAGGCGAAAAGAACCCCGGCGAGGGGAGUGAAAAAGAACCUGAAACCGUGUACGUACAAGCAGUGGGAGCCCCACCACCAAAGCAUUUGCUGUACCGCGUUGACGGAGCGAAGCGACGUCAAACCGAUAAAACAGCAGUGUAAAGUGAGCCGCAGGGCGCUUUGCGCGACAGCGCAAAGGCAGGCGGUUUCGCGUAGCGAAAGCGAAUGCUUUGGGGUGGGGUGACUGCGUACCUUUUGUAUAAUGGGUCAGCGACUUAUAUUCUGUAGCAAGGUUAACCGAAUAGGGGAGCCGGAGGGAAACCGAGUCUUAAUUGGGCGUUAAGUUGCAGGGUAUAGACCCGAAACCCGGUGAUCUAGCCAUGGGCAGGUUGAAGGUUGGGUAACACUAACUGGAGGACCGAACCGACUAAUGUUGAAAAAUUAGCGGAUGACCUGUGGCUGGGGGUGAAAGGCCAAUCAAACCGGGAGAUAGCUGGUUCUCCCCGAAAGCUAUUUAGGUAGCGCCUCGUGAAUUCAUCUCCGGGGGUAGAGCACUGUUUCGGCUAGGGGGCCAUCCCGGCUUACCAACCCGAUGCAAACUGCGAAUACCGGAGAAUGUUAUCACGGGAGACACACGGCGGGUGCUAACGUCCGUCGUGAAGAGGGAAACAACCCAGACCGCCAGCUAAGGUCCCAAAGUCAUGGUUAAGUGGGAAACGAUGUGGGAAGGCCCAGACAGCCAGGAUGUUGGCUUAGAAGCAGCCAUCAUUUAAAGAAAGCGUAAUAGCUCACUGGUCGAGUCGGCCUGCGCGGAAGAUGUAACGGGGCUAAACCAUGCACCGAAGCUGCGGCAGCGACACUGUGUGUUGUUGGGUA